UAUAGUACCGAAGUUCCUGAUUCCACACUGCCAAGAAAAGCCUCUAGCGAGGCGGGAGGUGCCCGUACCGCAAACCGACACAGGUAGGCGAGGAGAGAAUCCUAAGGUGAUCGAGAGAACUCUCGUUAAGGAACUCGGCAAAAUGACCCCGUAACUUCGGGAGAAGGGGUGCUCUGGUAGGGUGUAUAGCCCGAGAGAGCCGCAGUGAAUAGGCCCAGGCGACUGUUUAGCAAAAACACAGGUCUCUGCGAAGCCGCAAGGCGAAGUAUAGGGGCUGACGCCUGCCCGGUGCUGGAAGGUUAAGAGGAGGGGUUAUCCUUUGGGAGAAGCUCUGAAUCGAAGCCCCAGUAAACGGCGGCCGUAACUAUAACGGUCCUAAGGUAGCGAAAUUCCUUGUCGGGUAAGUUCCGACCCGCACGAAAGGCGUAACGAUCUGGGCACUGUCUCAACGAGAGACUCGGUGAAAUUAUAGUACCUGUGAAGAUGCAGGUUACCCGCGACAGGACGGAAAGACCCCGUGGAGCUUUACUGUAGCCUGAUAUUGAAUUUUGGUACAGCUUGUACAGGAUAGGUAGGAGCCUGAGAAGCCGGAGCGCUAGCUUCGGUGGAGGCGUCGGUGGGAUACUACCCUGGCUGUAUUGAAAUUCUAACCCGCGGCCCUGAUCGGGCCGGGAGACAGUGUCAGGUGGGCAGUUUGACUGGGGCGGUCGCCUCCUAAAAUGUAACGGAGGCGCCCAAAGGUUCCCUCAGAAUGGUUGGAAAUCAUUCGUAGAGUGUAAAGGCACAAGGGAGCUUGACUGCGAGACCUACAAGUCGAGCAGGGACGAAAGUCGGGCUUAGUGAUCCGGUGGUUCCGCAUGGAAGGGCCAUCGCUCAACGGAUAAAAGCUACCCCGGGGAUAACAGGCUUAUCUCCCCCAAGAGUCCACAUCGACGGGGAGGUUUGGCACCUCGAUGUCGGCUCAUCGCAUCCUGGGGCUGUAGUCGGUCCCAAGGGUUGGGCUGUUCGCCCAUUAAAGCGGUACGCGAGCUGGGUUCAGAACGUCGUGAGACAGUUCGGUCCCUAUCCGUCGUGGGCGUAGGAAAUUUGAGAGGAGCUGUCCUUAGUACGAGAGGACCGGGAUGGACACACCGCUGGUGUACCAGUUGUCUUGCCAAAGGCAUCGCUGGGUAGCUAUGUGUGGACGGGAUAAGUGCUGAAAGCAUCUAAGCAUGAAGCCCCCCUCAAGAUGAGAUUUCCCAUAGCGCAAGCUAGUAAGAUCCCUGAAAGAUGAUCAGGUUGAUAGGUCAGAGGUGGAAGCGUGGCGACA
rnacentral:rRNA from 1 species